rnacentral:rRNA from 1 species
GAUGAACGCUGGCGGCGUGCCUAAUACAUGCAAGUCGAGCGAACGGACGAGAAGCUUGCUUCUCUGAUGUUAGCGGCGGACGGGUGAGUAACACGUGGAUAACCUACCUAUAAGACUGGGAUAACUUCGGGAAACCGUAGCUAAUACCGGAUAAUAUUUUGAACCGCAUGGUUCAAAAGUGAAAGACGGUCUUGCUGUCACUUAUAGAUGGAUCCGCGCUGCAUUAGCUAGUUGGUAAGGUAACGGCUUACCAAGGCAACGAUGCAUAGCCGACCUGAGAGGGUGGUCGGCCACACUGGAACUGAGACACGGUCAAGACUCCUACGGGAGGCAGCAGUAGGGAAUCUUCCGCAAUGGGCGAAAGCCUGACGGAGCAACGCCGCGUGAGUGAUGAAGGUCUUCGGAUCGUAAAACUCUGUUAUUAGGGAAGAACAUAUGUGUAAGUAACUGUGCACAUCUUGACGGUACCUAAUCAGAAAGCCACGGCUAACUACGUG